GCCGGGUGUGGUGGCGCACACCUGUAGUCCCAGCUACUCGGGAGGCUGAGACAGGACAAUUGCUUGAACCCAGGAGAUGGAGGCUGCAGUGAGCAGAGACCAUGCCAUUGCCCUCCAGCCUAGGUGACAAAGCGAUGCUUCGUCUCAC
ensembl:misc_RNA Metazoa_SRP Metazoan signal recognition particle RNA